rnacentral:rRNA from 1 species
UACAGGGGGGGCAAGCGUUGUUCGGAAUUACUGGGCGUAAAGGGCUCGUAGGCGGCCAACUAAGUCCGACGUGAAAUCCCCAAGCUUAACUUGGGAACUGCGUCGGAUACUGGAUGGCUUGAAUUCGGGAGAGGGAUGCAGAAUUCCAGGUGUAGCGGUGAAAUGCGUAGAUAUCUGGAGGAACACCGGUGGCGAAGGCGGGUCUCUGGGCCGUAACUGACGCUGAGGAGCGAAAGCAUGGGGAGCGAACAGG